rnacentral:rRNA from 1 species
GAUGAACGCUGGCGGCGUGCCUAAUACAUGCAAGUCGAGCGAACAGAUGAGGAUCUUGCUCCGCGGACGUUAGCGGCGGACGUGUGAGUAACACGUGUAUAACCUCCCUAUAAUGCGGGUAUAACUUCGGAAAACCGGGUCUAAUACCGUAGAAUAUAUUGAACCACAGUGGGCAAUAGUAAAAUACGGUUGUGCUGGCACGUAUAGAUGGAUCCGCGCCGUUUUGGAUAGUUGUGAAGUUAACGGCUUACCAAGGCAACGAUGCGUAGCCGACGUGAGAGGGUGAUAGGCCACAUUGGAACGGAGCCACGGUCCAGACUACUACGGGAGGCCGCAGUAGGGAAUCUUACGCAAUGGGCGAAAGCAUGACGGAGCAACGCGGAGUGAGUGAUGACGGUCUUCGGAUCGUAAAACUCUGUUAUUAGGGAAGAACAAAUGUGUAAGUAAAUAUGCACGUAUUGACGGUAACUAAUAAGAAAGCACCGGCUAACUACGUG